rnacentral:rRNA from 1 species
UGAAACCGUGUACGUACAAGCAGUGGGAGCCUCUUAAUGGGGUGACUGCGUACCUUUUGUAUAAUGGGUCAGCGACUUAUAUUCUGUAGCAAGGUUAACCGAAUAGGGGAGCCGAAGGGAAACCGAGUCUUAACUGGGCGUUAAGUUGCAGGGUAUAGACCCGAAACCCGGUGAUCUAGCCAUGGGCAGGUUGAAGGUUGGGUAACACUAACUGGAGGACCGAACCGACUAAUGUUGAAAAAUUAGCGGAUGACUUGUGGCUGGGGGUGAAAGGCCAAUCAAACCGGGAGAUAGCUGGUUCUCCCCGAAAGCUAUUUAGGUAGCGCCUCGUGAAUUCAUCUCCGGGGGUAGAGCACUGUUUCGGCAAGGGGGUCAUCCCGACUUACCAACCCGAUGCAAACUGCGAAUACCGGAGAAUGUUAUCACGGGAGACACACGGCGGGUGCUAACGUCCGUCGUGAAGAGGGAAACAACCCAGACCGCCAGCUAAGGUCCCAAAGUCAUGGUUAAGUGGGAAACGAUGUGGGAAGGCCCAGACAGCCAGGAUGUUGGCUUAGAAGCAGCCAUCAUUUAAAGAAAGCGUAAUAGCUCACUGGUCGAGUCGGCCUGCGCGGAAGAUGUAACGGGGCUAAACCAUGCACCGAAGCUGCGGCAGCGACGCUUAUGCGUUGUUGGGUAGGGGAGCGUUCUGUAAGCCUGUGAAGGUGUGCUGUGAGGCAUGCUGGAGGUAUCAGAAGUGCGAAUGCUGACAUAAGUAACGAUAAAGCGGGUGAAAAGCCCGCUCGCCGGAAGACCAAGGGUUCCUGUCCAACGUUAAUCGGGGCAGGGUGA